AUGGAACGCUGGCGGCAGGCUUAACACACGCAAGUCGAGCGGGGAAGGUAGCUUGCUACUGGACCUAGCGGCGGACGGGUGAGUAAUGCUUAGGAAUCUGCCUAUUAGUGGGGGACAACAUCUCGAAAGGGAUGCUAAUACCGCAUACGUCCUACGGGAGAAAGCAGGGGAUCUUCGGACCUUGCGCUAAUAGAUGAGCCUAAGUCGGAUUAGCUAGUUGGUAGGGUAAAGGCCUACCAAGGCGACGAUCUGUAGCGGGUCUGAGAGGAUGAUCCGCCACACUGGGACUGAGACACGGCCCAGACUCCUACGGGAGGCAGCAGUGGGGAAUAUUGGACAAUGGGGGGAACCCUGAUCCAGCCAUGCCGCGUGUGUGAAGAAGGCCUUAUGGUUGUAAAGCACUUUAAGCGAGGAGGAGGCUACUCUAGUUAAUACCUAGGGAUAGUGGACGUUACUCGCAGAAUAAGCACCGGCUAACUCUGUGCCAGCCGCCGCGGUAA
rnacentral:rRNA from 1 species